UGGCUUUGCAACUGUAGCGUCCUACGUCCGCAGUCGCCGCCUUGAGCAAUCUCAGCGUCUUCCCUCUCUGCAGUAUCUGCACGUUACUGCCGGCGACCACCUGAACAAAUCGGCAGCGCAAAUCCACACCUGAACUAUGACUAAGUGAAGGAGUGAACGGUGGAAGGUUACACACCUGUAUGCUGUCUUUAAACCACGUGAUGACAGGUUGAGGCGUGCCGGUGAUAUCACACACCAAACUGACGGGCUGGUUCAUCACCACAGAGACGUUGGACGUCAGGCUACCGUCUCGCACGUUAGGUGGCACUGAAAAGGCAGAUUAAGGAGUAAAUGCCUGAGUAAAUCGUUGUAGUAGCUGUUUGUAAUCGCAGUGCUGCCGGCGUCGUUGGCGGCUGUGCAGGUGUAUUCACCGUUGUCCAGAGGUGACACUGAGGCCAGGAUGAGCAAAGUGCCGUCCUCCAAGAUGGACACGCCGGGUUCGUUUCCUGUGAGCUCCUGGCCGUUCCUAAACCACUUAAUUACCGGCUGAGGCAAACCUGCAAGAUCAGGGGAGGUUAGAUACUGAAAAGACACAGCCCUGUGCUCUGUGGGGUGUGGAAUGGUAAGAGGUUACCUUUAGCCGGGCAGGGGAACGCGAUGCGCUGAUUUGCCACUCGCUCUUGCAGCGGACUGUUGAAAGGAGGUUCAGAGACUUCCACCACAGGGGGAACUACAGAACCAGACAACAGUCAUGUGCACGACAGCUUUAACUCUGCUCUUCAUCCAGACAAUCAUUUAACAGCAAUAUGCAGUUCCAUCUGCGUUAAAACACUUUAUGUGGACAGGAAAUUAAGUGGAAACACUGUAUACAAAAUUUAUGGGUUAAAGCAGCUGUCUGGAAAAAGGAGGCCACAUAAAAAUAUCAGAAAUUAUGUCUCGUUUUCAUUUAGUCAAAAUCUAGUGUGUGUUUAACAGUCGUAAAUGUUAAUACAGCUCAGUAUAUACUGUAAACUCUGAAUGAGUAAUAAUAAUAAAUCACAUUAACGAGUCACUCGAGUCGGUGUUUGCCACCAAAAAUGCUGCAGUUUUUUUUCCCCAGUGGAAAACUACAUAAAUUGGUGAAAUUGAAAUCACAGGAUUCUUCUGUUAAACUGCAACUAAUUCAAUAACAAUGUUUGAGACUGAUGGUAUCCUUAGUCUGUGACCUAGUGAAGCGGUAUUGAUGUAUUAACUGAUGCACGUCUUCAAAGGACGUCUG